rnacentral:rRNA from 1 species
CAUGCUAGUCGCACGGGUUUAGACCCGUGGCAAAUAGCUCAGUAACACGUGGCCAAACUACCCUGUGGACAGGGAUAACCUCGGGAAACUGAGGCUAAUCCCCGAUACAGCUCUCAUGCUGGAGUGCAGAGAGCUGGAAACGUUCUGGCGCCACAGGAUGUGGCUGCGGCCGAUUAGGUAGACGGUGGGGUAACGGCCCACCGUGCCUAUAAUCGGUACGGGUCAUGAGAGUGAGAACCCGGAGACGGUAUCUGAGACAAGAUACCGGGCCCUACGGGGCGCAGCAGGCGCGAAACCUUUACACUGCACGACAGUGCGAUAAGGGGACUCCGAGUGCGAGGGCAUACAGUCCUCGCUUUUCUGCACCGUAAGGUGGUACAGGAACAAGUGCUGGGCAAGACCGGUGCCAGCCGCCGCGGUAAUACCGGCAGCACGAGUGAUGGCCGAUUUUAUUGGGCCUAAAGCGUCCGUAGCCGGCCAGACAAGUCCGUUGGGAAAUCGACGUGCCUAACCCGUCGGCGUCCAGCGGAAACUGUCUGGCUUGGGGCCGGAAGACUCGAGGGGUACGUCCGGGGUAGGAGUGAAAUCCUGUAAUCCUGGACGGACCGCCGGUGGCGAAAGCGCCUCGAGAGGACGGACCCGACGGUCAGGGACGAAAGCUAGGGUCUCGAACCGGAUUAGAUACCCGGGUAGUCCUAGCCGUAAACGAUGCUCGCUAGGUGUGGCGCAGGCUACGAGCCUGCGCUGUGCCGUAGGGAAGCCGUGAAGCGAGCCGCCUGGGAAGUACGUCUGCAAGGAUGAAACUUAAAGGAAUUGGCG